GCACAACGCGAAGAACCUUACCUACUCUUGACAUCCAGAGAACUUAGCAGAGAUGCUUUGGUGCCUUCGGGAACUCUGAGACAGGUGCUGCAUGGCUGCCGUCAGCUCGUGUUGUGAAAUGUUGGGUUAAGUCCCGCAACGAGCGCAACCCUUAUCCUUUGUUGCCAGCGGUUAGGCCGGGAACUCAAAGGAGACUGCCAGUGAUAAACUGGAGGAAGGUGGGGAUGACGUCAAGUCAUCAUGGCCCUUACGAGUAGGGCUACACACGUGCUACAAUGGCAUAUACAAAGAGAAGCGACCUCGCGAGAGCAAGCGGACCUCAUAAAGUAUGUCGUAGUCCGGAUUGGAGUCUGCAACUCGACCCCAUGAAGUCGGAAUCGCUAGUAAUCGUGGAUCAGAAUGCCACGGUGAAUACGUUCCCGGGUCUUGUACACACCG
rnacentral:rRNA from 1 species